rnacentral:lncRNA from 1 species
CCGACUCCAAUUCCCAACCCCCAGGCGCAGAGUAAGAAAAUGAGCUGGAACUGUCUCCUGAAGCCUGUCAAUGUGAGAUGCCUUGCUCUCCCUUUGCCUUCUGCCAUGAUUGUAACCUUCCUGAGGCCUUACCAGAAGCGCAUGCCGGUGCUAUGCUUCCUGUACAGCCUGCAGAACGCAUGUGCAUAUCACUUCAAUCUAUGAAUGUCCCAAAUGUAGCAAUGAAAAGUUGAGCCUGGCAAGGUGAGAAAAGAUAACUCAGAGGAGGCCAUGAUUUGUGUGUGUGUGUGUGUGUUGGGGAUAUGAAUAGGUAAUAGCAGUUAGUUGUAAGGGGUGCUUUGUCUGAAGGAAAGCUAAAACCCAGGUUUUAGUAAAUAACUAUUAAAUUCUAUUCCAUUUAUUGAACCAGGCAAUAUACAUUGACCUCUUGAUCUUAACUGGUAUCAUUCCCUCUGCUGAAGUUAGAGACAGAAGAUGCCCUGACAGAGAUGAUUAAUGUUCACAAAACAUUCAUGUUCUCUCCUUUACAUUUACACCCAGUCUCCCUUGCAGGAAUGUUUGAACCAUGAGACUAAGUUCUCAUCAAUGGGAGCUGAGCAGAGAUAAUAAACCAUUUCCAGAACUGACUGCUGAAAACAUCUCAAGUGACUCUCCAUGUCUCUCUUCCCUUGCCUUUUGACCUUAGAGGCCACAAGUUCCAGAUGGCAUUACUACAAGGGAGGAGCAACCUGGAUUCCUGGAUUUCUGCUCAGAAGAGGACUGCCCUGGAGAGCUACUCAGUUACACUUCAAAUAAGCGAAAAUAAACUUUUAUUUUAUUAAGCCAAUGGGAUUUCAGGGUUUGUUAUCACACAGCAUAGAUUAUCCCAGGAGUUCUCAAAAUGUGAUUCCCAGACAGCAGCAUCAGCAUCUCCUGGGAAUUUGUUAGAUAUGCAUAUUUUUGAGCUCACCUGAAGUCUAGUAAAUCAGAAACUGAGGGUGGGACACAGUGAUCUGUGUUUUAGCAGGCCCUGCAAGUGAUUCUGAUACACUCUAAAGCUUUGAGAACCAUAGGUCUAAACUACCUCAUCAAUAUGGCAGAAUCCUUGAUCUCCAGGAUCUCACAGUCUAAUAGACAGAGGCCCUUGUAUCCUAACCUCUUCUCAAUUUUCCCAAGUCCUUCUUGCCUUUGCUGAAACCAGCCCAUCUUCUGAGGACAGGACGUUUCUUAUAGCUCUCUCAAAGCAGUGCUAUUUAUUCUUUUACUACU